UUUGACCUCAGAUCAGGUAGGACUACCCGC
rnacentral:rRNA from 1 species